rnacentral:rRNA from 1 species
GACAGAGGGUGCAAACGUUUGUUCGGAAUUACUGGGCGUAAAGCGUGUGUAGGCUGCUACGUAAGUCGGAUGUGAAAGCCCUGGGCUCAACCCAGGAAGUGCACUCGAUACUGCGUAGCUUGAGUCUCGGAGAGGUUGGUGGAAUUCUCGGUGUAGAGGUGAAAUUCGUAGAUAUCGAGAGGAACACCGGUGGCGAAGGCGGCCAACUGGACGAAGACUGACGCUGAGACACGAAAGCGUGGGGAGCAAACAGG